UUGAAAGAUUUUUUUUAAGUGACAGAUUUCCUGGAAUUGUAUAACUCCUAUAGGUUUUACCGGGAUUUUUAAUAAACUUGCAUAAACUUUUAUUAUAGACUUCCAUACUUUUAUAUGAACUUUUGUUAAAGAUUCAGAUCAAUUUGCAUAGACAUUAUCACUUUUGUUACAAGCCUGCUGAACCACGCUUGCAGCUUGGGCAGCUGUAGAAGCACCGGAUACUUUCAAGAAUGGACCCCACAUGUUUUGGUUAUAUGAUUCAAGUGCGUUGAAACCUGCGGAGGUGGUGGAACUAUUUCUACAGCAAGAAAUGGUUCAUGGCAAUUGGGGCAAAGAAGAUUAUGAUUAAGGUUCAGCUGAGAAGUGUGUCAAGGUUCAGCUGAUUUCAUGCAGAAGAUUAGGCUAAAUUCUUGGUUGAAAAAGGUGUUGAAUUUUUUAUUAUAUUAUCACCGCCUCCAUAGUCACCCAGCACAGUACACGCCCUUUGUAUCCUAUUCACCAACCCGAUCAAGCUCUCCAUCGUCGUCAUUCA